rnacentral:rRNA from 1 species
AACGAACGCUGGCGGCGUGGAUAAGACAUGCAAGUCGAACGGGACUAAAUCUGUGGCAAUACAGGUUUAGUUUAGUGGCGAACGGGUGCGUAACACGUGGGCAAUCUGCCGAGAAGUGGGGGAGUAGCUCGCCGAAGGACGAAUUAAUACCGCAUAUGAUCAGUGAAGACAUCUUCACGACAUCAAAGACCGGGGCGAACCUGGCGCUUCUUGAUGAGCCCGCGGCCUAUCAGCUAGUUGGUGAGGUAACGGCUCACCAAGGCUAUGACGGGUAGCUGGUC